rnacentral:rRNA from 1 species
GCUGGCGGCAGGCCUAACACAUGCAAGUCGAGCGCGCCUUCGGGUGAGCGGCGGACGGGUUAGUAACGCGUGGGAACGUGCCCUUCUCUACGGAAUAGCCUCUGGAAACGGAGAGUAAUACCGUAUACGCCCUUUGGGGGAAAGAUUUAUUGGAGAAGGAUCGGCCCGCGUUAGAUUAGGUAGUUGGUGGGGUAACGGCCUACCAAGCCUACGAUCUAUAGCUGGUUUUAGAGGAUGAUCAGCAACACUGGGACUGAGACACGGCCCAGACUCCUACGGGAGGCAGCAGUGGGGAAUCUUAGACAAUGGGGGCAACCCUGAUCUAGCCAUGCCGCGUGAGUGAUGAAGGCCUUAGGGUCGUAAAGCUCUUUCGCCUGUGAUGAUAAUGACAGUAGCAGGUAAAGAAACCCCGGCUACUCCGUGCCAGCAGCCGCGGUAAUACGGAGGGGGUUAGCGUUGUUCGGAAUUACUGGGCGUAAAGCGCGCGUAGGCGGAUUA